UACGUAGGUGGCAAGCGUUAUCCGGAUUUACUGGGUGUAAAGGGAGCGCAGGCGGUGCGGCAAGUCUGAUGUGAAAACCCGGGGCUCAACCCCGGGACUGCAUUGGAAACUGCCGUGCUAGAGUGCCGGAGAGGUAAGUGGAAUUCCUAGUGUAGCGGUGAAAUGCGUAGAUAUUAGGAGGAACACCAGUGGCGAAGGCGGCUUACUGGACGGUAACUGACGCUGAGGCUCGAAAGCGUGGGGAGCAA
rnacentral:rRNA from 1 species